rnacentral:rRNA from 1 species
AGAGUUUGAUCCUGGCUCAGGACGAACGCUGGCGGCGUGCUUAACACAUGCAAGUGGAGCGACGAACCGGGGCUUGCCCCGGGGCAGAGCCGCGAACGGGUGAGUAACACGUGGGUAACCUGCCUUGAUGAUUGGGACAACCCGAGGAAACUCGGGCUAAUACCAAAUGUGCUGAUCCCCUCCAAGGGGGAUUAGGAAAG